UGGGGAAUUUUGGACAAUGGGGGCAACCCUGAUCCAGCAACGCCGCGUGAAUGAAGAAGGCCUUCGGGUUGUAAAGUUCUUUUGUCUGGGAGCAAGAGUUGGGGGCUAAUAUCCCUUGAUGAUGAGAGUACCAGAAGAAUAAGCACCGGCUAACUACGUGCCAGCAGCCGCGGUAAUACGUAGGGUGCAAGCGUUAAUCGGAAUUACUGGGCGUAAAGCGUGCGCAGGCGGACAUUUAAGUUAGAAGUGAAAUCCCCGAGCUUAACUUGGGAACUGCUUUUAAGACUGGGUGUCUAGAGUAUGUUAGAGGGGGGUAGAAUUCCAAGUGUAGCAGUGAAAUGCGUAGAGAUUUGGAGGAAUACCGAUGGCGAAGGCAGCCCCCUGGGAUAAUACUGACGCU
rnacentral:rRNA from 1 species